rnacentral:rRNA from 1 species
AUUGAACGCUGGCGGCAUGCUUUACACAUGCAAGUCGAACGGUAACAGGCCGCAAGGUGCUGACGAGUGGCGAACGGGUGAGUAAUGCAUCGGAACGUGCCCAGUCGUGGGGGAUAACUACUCGAAAGAGUAGCUAAUACCGCAUACGAUCUAUGGAUGAAAGCGGGGGACCGUAAGGCCUCGCGCGAUUGGAGCGGCCGAUGUCAGAUUAGGUAGUUGGUGGGGUAAAGGCUCACCAAGCCAACGAUCUGUAGCUGGUCUGAGAGGACAACCAGCCACACUGGGACUGAGACACGGCCCAGACUCCUACGGGAGGCAGCAGUGGGGAAUUUUGGACAAUGGGCGCAAGCCCGAUCCAGCAAUGCCGCGUGCAGGAAGAAGGCCUUCGGGUUGUAAACUGCCUUUGUACGGAACGAAACGGCUCUGGUUAAUACCCGGGGCUAAUGACGGUACCGUAAGAAUAAGCACCGGCUAACUACGUG